UAUAUGCCACUUCCCUGUGUCUGUCAUUAUAAUCACAGCUAAAAGGAAACUGAAACUCAGAAACCAGCCAAGGAGAUCCACACGUAGAAAGUUUUGUAAGUUAAAGUCUGACAAAGGCCAUCACUCAGAAAAGACUCUCUCAACUUGGCAUUAAACAUUUACAUGUUCCAAAAGACAAAACUAGAAGCAAUUGAAGGUGAUUUGUGUCACAAUGUCACUCAUCUGUGGGCCAAGUCAUUCAUCACUGAUCAUGAGUCAGUGUACAGUCUUACCUAAUGUCACUUCUGUUUAUAUACCAAGUGGAUGACCACAUGCACUGCUUGGAAUUGUGCCCAUUAUGUGGAUUUUUCUGACUGCUCUUUCAGAUGCAUAACUAAAUUAAGCCGUUUUGGACUAGUAGUUCAUUUUUUAAUCUGCAUCCAAAAGGGCAACCAGUUUGGGUAUGAGUCAAGCUCAUCCUUUUCCCUCCCUUUAUCAACUAGUCAUAAAGAACUUCCCCAAGUGAGAGUAAACGUGACCUGACACAAAUAAUGUAGUGUACUGAACAACUGGUUUAGGGAGAUAAAAUCUUCCAUGAAUCACUCACGCUCUGGAAUGUUCUCCUGGAUAUGUCAAGAAUGCAAGGCAAUGACCACUCUUCGCUUGUGGCUUUCCUCAUGGUUACUUUUGCAACAACAAUAACAACAAAAGCCCUUGAAAGCUGAGGUAAUAUUUCUUCUUGAACAGAAACUGGCUUUGCUUUGAAAGAGUUGAAUACCCCCAUCAGUAUUUCUGCACUGUGAUACUGAAUGUAGUCACAGUCUGCAUCUGCUGCUUCUGCGUAGGCCCUCCUGGACUUGUGGGGAUAAGGAUGUCAGUGCUAACAUAGAUUUCAUGUUGCUAGUUGUGCAAUGAAUACUAAAGUCCUUUUUCUCUGUGUAAGAAUCUCAUAUUUUCUGUCAGCAUCCAAGAGUAACAGGCUAACAGAUGAGGUGGUGAGUAGUGUAAAGUCCCAAUCCCUGUCACUUGUUCAUACAUCCUAUGUUUACUCUCUCUGCUGAUGAUUAAUUCUGGGUGUGUGAGUUCUGUCAGUUAGAUGAUUACUGGUCCCAGCAAGCUUUACAACAAUUUGUUGGUCUGCAUCACUAAUCAUUUGAUAGGAACUCUGACUUCAUGGUCACUUUAUUUCUCAUAAUUAGGUGUCCUGUUUGGAUCAGGACCUAGCUGCAUACAGGUGUCAUUAGUCAAAUAGGGUUUACAUCUUUGGCAUAAAUAAUUUGGAGCUAUUCCAAAACCUAAAGGACAAUGAAUGUGUUGUGUGUGUGCACGUGCACACACAGUCACUGUUGGAUAACAAGUUUUUAAAAUUUCUUUAUGAAAGAUACACAUCAGACAAUUUAGAACUUUAAAGUCUUUACAAUCGUGUUGAUCAGCAUUUUGGAAAUCUCCUGAGGCUUCCCUGAUUCAUUAGGAUAUAGAGAAACUAGCAAGUUAUGGAAUCAAUGAAACUUAACUGCAAAAAUUUCAGUAGUGCUCUCCAGGGGUUCUCUGAUUGAUAUGUAUAUCUCACCUCAAUCUUAUUGAAAAGCAGAAACCUGUAUGAAUUCAUUUUCAUAAUAAAGAAAAAUUUUC